rnacentral:rRNA from 1 species
UGACAGCCCCGUAUGCGAAAGUGAUGUAUCAGGACUCGAGUAGGGCGGGACACGUGAAAUCCUGUCUGAACAUGGGGGGACCACCCUCCAAGCCUAAAUACUCGUACAUGACCGAUAGCGAACAAGUACCGUGAGGGAAAGGUGAAAAGCACCCCGAUGAGGGGAGUGAAACAGUACCUGAAACCGAAUGCUUACAAGCAGUGGGAGCUCCAUAGGGGGUGACCGCGUACCUCUUGCAUAAUGGGUCAGUGACUUAAUUUAUCGAGCAAGCUUAAGCCGUUAGGUGUAGGCGCAGCGAAAGCGAGUCUGAAAUGGGCGACCGAGUUCGAUGAAUUAGACCCGAAACCCGGCGAUCUAGGCAUGACCAGGUUGAAGGUGCGGUAACACGCACUGGAGGACCGAACCGUUUAAUGUUGAAAAAUUAUCGGAUGAGUUGUGUUUAGGGGGUGAAAGGCCAAUCAAGCCGGGAAAUAGCUGGUUCUCCGCGAAAUCUAUUGAGGU